GUUUUCGUGGCCUAGUUGGUUAGGGCGUCUGUCUUACAGAGAAAUCUUGAAGCUCACAGAAGAUCCCCGGUUCGAGCCCGGGCGAGAACA